GAUGAACGCUAGCGGCAGGCCUAACACAUGCAAGUCGAGGGAUAAGCCUUCGGGCUAAGACCGGCGCACGGGUGCGUAACGCGUAUACAAUCUGCCUUUUAUCCGGGGAUAGCCCGAAGAAAUUUGGAUUAAUACCCUAUGGUAUAAGAGCACGGCAUCGUGCACUUAUUAAAGCUACGGCGGUAAAAGAUGAGUAUGCGUUCUAUUAGCUAGUUGGAGAGGUAACGGCUCCCCAAGGCGACGAUAGAUAGGGGUUCUGAGAGGGAUGUCCCCCACACUGGUACUGAGAUACGGACCAGACUCCUACGGGAGGCAGCAGUGAGGAAUAUUGGACAAUGGUCGGAAGACUGAUCCAGCCAUGCCGCGUGCAGGAUGACGGCCUUAUGGGUGGUAAACUGCUUUUGUAAGGGAAGAAUAAGGAGUACGUGUACUUUGAUGACGGUACCUUACGAAUAAGCAUCGGCUAACUCCGUG
rnacentral:rRNA from 1 species